rnacentral:rRNA from 1 species
UACAGAGGGUGCGAGCGUUAAUCGGAAUUACUGGGCGUAAAGGGCGUGUAGGCGGUGACAUGAGGGUGAUGUGAAAGCCCUGGGCUUAACCUAGGAAGUGCAUUGCAAACGAUGUUACUGGAGUAUAUGAGAGGGUGGCGGAAUUUCCGGUGUAGCGGUGAAAUGCGUAGAGAUCCGGAGGAAGACCGGUGGCGAAGGCGGCCUGCUGGGCAGUUUCUGACACUGAGGCGCGACAGCGUGGGGAGCAAACAGG